rnacentral:rRNA from 1 species
GAUGAACGCUAGCGGCAGGCUUAAUACAUGCAAGUCGUGGGGCAGCAGGUUUGUAGCAAUACAGAUGCUGGCGACCGGCAAACGGGUGCGGAACACGUACAGAACCUUCCUUUGAGCGGGGAAUAGCCCAGAGAAAUUUGGAUUAAUACCCCAUAGUAUAAUGAAGUGGCAUCACUUUAUUAUUAAAGAUUUAUCACUCGAAGAUGGCUGUGCGGCUGAUUAGGUAGUUGGCGGGGUAAAGGCCCACCAAGCCUGCGAUCAGUAACUGGUGUGAGAGCACGACCAGUCACACGGGCACUGAGACACGGGCCCGACUCCUACGGGAGGCAGCAGUAAGGAAUAUUGGUCAAUGGAGGCAACUCUGAACCAGCCAUGCCGCGUGGAGGAUGAAGGUCCUCUGGAUUGUAAAGUUCUUUGUCCGUGACGAUAAUGACGGUAGCGGACGAAUAAGCCCUGGCUAACUCUGUGCCAGCAGCCGCGGUAAA